GAUGAACGCUGGCGGCGUGCCUAAUACAUGCAAGUCGAGCGAACAGACGAGGAGCUUGCUCCUCUGACGUUAGCGGCGGACGGGUGAGUAACACGUGGAUAACCUACCUAUAAGACUGGGAUAACUUCGGGAAACCGGAGCUAAUACCGGAUAAUAUAUUGAACCGCAUGGUUCAAUAGUGAAAGACGGUUUUGCUGUCACUUAUAGAUGGAUCCGCGCCGCAUUAGCUAGUUGGUAAGGUAACGGCUUACCAAGGCAACGAUGCGUAGCCGACCUGAGAGGGUGAUCGGCCACACUGGAACUGAGACACGGUCCAGACUCCUAAGGGAGGCAGCAGUAGGGAAUCUUCCGCAAUGGGCGAAAGCUUGACGGAGCAACGCCGCGUGAGUGAUGAAGGUCUUCGGAUCGUAAAACUCUGUUAUUAGGGAAGAACAAAUGUGGAAGUAACUAUGCACGUCUUGACGGUACCUAAUCAGAAAGCCACGGCUAACUACGUG
rnacentral:rRNA from 1 species